GAUGAACGCUGGCGGCGUGCCUAAUACAUGCAAGUCGAGCGAAUGGAUUAAGAGCUUGCUCUUAUGAAGUUAGCGGCGGACGGGUGAGUAACACGUGGGUAACCUGCCCAUAAGACUGGGAUAACUCCGGGAAACCGGGGCUAAUACCGGAUAACAUUUUGAACCGCAUGGUUCGAAAUUGAAAGGCGGCUUCGGCUGUCACUUAUGGAUGGACCCGCGUCGCAUUAGCUAGUUGGUGAGGUAACGGCUCACCAAGGCAACGAUGCGUAGCCGACCUGAGAGGGUGAUCGGCCACACUGGGACUGAGACACGGCCCAGACUCCUACGGGAGGCGGCAGUAGGGAAUCCUCCGCAAUGGACGAAAGUCUGACGGAGCAACGCUGCGUGAGUGAUGAAGGCUUUCGGGUCGUAAAACUCUGUUGUUAGGGAAGAACAAGUGCUAGUUGAAUAAGCUGGCACCUUGACGGUACCUAACCAGAAAGCCACGGCUAACUACGUGCCAGCCGCCGCAGUAA
rnacentral:rRNA from 1 species